CUGUACUUCUCCCACUCGCUGUCGCUUCCACUCGCUGUCGCUGGGAAGACUGCCUCGUUUAACUGCUUGAGGUGGUUCUCAAACGAGCAGAAUACAACAUGCAUAUUACUUCAGAACAAGCCACUUUACCAAUUGAGGUGAACAGAGCUAAAGGGAGGAGUUAACCCACUCAAUUACCUUACAAUUGCCGCAGGUGUAAUUGGUUAUUGAUGAACAGCAAACUAGGACAGGGGUUAACUUGCUUUGGAUUCAGGGGAUUAAUUAGGCUUUCAACAGAUUUCUCUCUCUCUUGUACUAGUAUUUAAUUUUCAAAUACUAGUCGAUUUCUGCAAGUUAUUUAAAUGUUUUCAAAUAAUAUCUACUUUCGGAAAAUUAUAUUUAAUUAUGUCAAAUUAUUCUUUACGUGGUGAUAUUUAAUUAUUUCAACUAUCUGAAUGAGUUAGUACUUUCAAAUUGAAUACAGAAUAGAACUAUCUUUGUCUCAGGUCUGGUUAGAACCAGAACACCCUGGGUAAAGUAGUCAAAAAUUAAUGCAAAACAUUGUUCGUGACUCCCAUGACAUCAGUUGAGAUUGACAGUCAAACUGCAAAGACGAGCCAAUGACUCAACAACAGUGUCACUUUUGUUAGGCUAAGUGGUGCAUCUUAUCUGCAUGUCUCAUUGCAAAUCUGAUAUUUUUAGAUCAUUCUGGACUCUUCCAAAAGCCACUGGUCAACUGUGUACGCCACUGUUAAUAAAACUCUGACUGCAUAGCAGUUAAACUCAUCCGAGGUUUUGAUAUGUGCAUGAUCAGCCCCAGUGAAUAGUUUACGGAUGCAGAUGUCUACUUUACAGCAUGCACGACAAUUAGAAUGUUUACCAACUCCCUGGUGGACCACUUCAUUGAAACCCCCCCAGACAGGAAGAUAAUGAUUUUCUGAUAAUGAAAUCGAAUACCACCGCGGCUGUUAAGCUUUCAUCUAAUUUUAUUGAGGCUGAAUUUUCAAAAAACAUGUAUUUGCAAUUAAAUAAAUACUUAACUGCGAUAUUGCAACAAAUAAUAGUAAUUUUUAAGAAACCCGGCUGUGAAAUGAGCCGGCUGCACACACCCAGAGAACUGACUGAAAAACGCGAAAUUCCAACCAUCACCUCCGCUUUCUUGCACAACGCGGAAUGCAAAUAAUUUGAAA